UGCAUCGUUGCAGCCCUACUGUAAACCAGCUCGGUUCUGGUAGGAACUGGACUUGGAGGCAGGUGAUGUCCUGUGGUGACCUCUGACAAAGAAAUGGCCAAAACACAGAGGAGAGAAAAAACUGGUCCAAAUCUUCCAGUCUUUAUUUCUAAGAUGAACUCCAGCAGAUUAAAUCCUAACCGUGGGGCUGCUGCAGUGGUGGCCAACAAAAUAAUGUACACAGACCAGAAUAGUUCUGCGAGCUGUGCACAUCGAAGCAGAAACAAUUUUAAACAACUGGCUGCAAGAACUGCUUUUUCUUUGGUCACAAACAGAACUCAACACGACUGCUACAGAAACAUUUCCUCCUAAUUUUGAGUUGUGAGAACUCAGAACCUUUACUGCCUGAGAGCCGUGAACGUAUUUCCUGAAGAUAUUCAUGAAAAUCAACAAACCCUGCCAGCAGACCUUUGUCCAACAGCAAAGUGUCAAAUUUAAAACUGUYGUUCUAAAAACAGAAAGAUCUCUAAAGAAAACCUGCCUCAGACUCAGUCCUGCUCCAGGUUCAGAUCAAAUACUUUGUUCUGUUCUGGACCUUCAAGCUUUAAACUACAGGAGAGGCUUUGUUUACAUCAAUCCCCCUGUAUUCUUGGACAUGCACAUUAUUAUUAUUUCUCCACAUCGUCCCUAGCUUGGCACAUUUGUGAUUCAGUCUACUGGAGUAAUAAUAAAUAAUCUUGUGGUUUUAGAGCUGGACAUUCAGAGCUUCACCUCUGAUAUUAUCUAUCAGAUUCUCCUGCAGGAAUCAUAAUUUUCAACCUGUUUUCCUCUGAAAUGACGGAACCGUAGCUGAGAAGGAUCAGAAACAACUCUGUCCAGGUUGUGAGUUAGAUUUAAACAUGUCAUUAAUUCAAGUGACAACCUUCUGAGACCCACAGAAGAAGCCCUGCAGAGGUUGGGGGCACUUUGGGGACCCGGUCGGCAGCGACAGACCCUCAGACCACCUUCAGCUCUGCUUCCCUGCUUUUCCUCGACACCUUCGCAAACAGAGGAGUGAAAGAAGAGAAAAGCUGUUCUCAGCAGCAGCUCUGCUAUAUAAAAACUCAAAGCCUUCAGUUGCAGGUGUGACCAAGAAACAAAAGGCCUUUGGGAAACUCCAAACAAUGGAGCCCCACCCCCGACCACUUUGGAUGUUUUCGGGGUCCUAAAGGCGAUAAAAACAGCCAAAUGUUUGGAGCUUCUUCCUCCAUCUGAAGAAUCUGUGGGCAGCAGUUCAACGACACCACCGAUGGAGGUCCGCUUUAACAGGACUGUUCAGGAGGUUAACGGUGGUCUAUAACGGGACUGUUCAGGAGGUUAACGGUGGUCUAUAACAGGACUGUUCAGGAGGUUAACGGUGGUCUAUAACGGGUCUGUUCAGGAGGUUAACGGUGGUCUAUAACGGGUCUGUUCAGGAGGUUAACGGUGGUCUAUAACAGGACUGUUCAGGAGGUUAACGGUGGUCUUUAACUAGAUUGUUCAGGUGGUUCACAGUGGUCUUUAACGGGACUGUUUAGUUGGUUAACGGUGGUCUUUAACGGGACUGUUCAGGAGGUUAAUGGUGGUCUUUAAGGGGACUGACUGUUCAGGAGGUUAACGGUGGUCUUUAACUAGACUGUUCAGUUGGUUAACGGUGGUCUUUAACUAGACUGUUCAGGUGGUUAAAGGUGGUCUUUAACGGGUCUGUUCAGGAGGUUAAUGGUGGUCUUUAAGGGGACUGUUCAGGUGGUUAAUGGUGGUCUUUAACUAGACUGUUCAGAUGGUUAAUGGUGGUCUUUAACUAGAUUGUUCAGGUGGUUAACGGUGGUCUUUAACUAGACUGUUCAGGUGGUUCACAGUGGUCUUUAACUAGACUGUUUAGUUGGUUAACGGUGGUCUUUAACGGGUCUGUUCAGGAGGUUAACGGUGGUCUUUAAUGGGUCUGUUCAGGAGGUUAACGGUGGUCUUUAAGGGGACUGUUCAGGAGGUUAACGGUGGUCUUUAAUGGGUCUGUUCAGGAGGUUAACGGUGGUCUUUAAGGGGACUGUUCAGGUGGUUAACAGUGGUCUUUAACUAGACUGUUAAGGAGAUUGACGGCGGUCUUUAACGGGACUGUUCAACUAGACUGUUCAGGAGGUUAGUGGUGGUCUUUCAGGGGACUGUUCAGGAGGUUAGUGGUGGUCUUUCAGGGGACUGUUCAGGAGGUUAGUGGUGGUCUUUCAGGGGACUGUUCAGGAGGUCUUUCUCUCUAACUUCUGACCCUUCAGCAGCUGAAGCGCACUGAGACCCUCGGCCAGCUGUGGUCCAACAGAACGAGGAGCUCCGGUCAGAGUUCUUGUUCCAGUCUGUAAUUACAGCUGGAGCUCAGAGUUCAACACAUCUGGAUUCAUUUCUGUCAACAGAGUUGUUGCUCUCUGGAUUAAAUCAACAAAAAUCAUCCAAUCAAAGCUCCUCAGGUCUGUUUAAAGAAAACAAGAAGUCUUUGAAUCAUUAAUGGCUCCAGGUUUUCUGUUCUACUUGUUUUUSUUUUCAUUUAAAUUCUCCACGUCCGCUCCUUCCUGCGCGUCAUGCUUGAAGCCCGGCUCUAACGCUGGCUUUGUGCGGAGCGGAGCACGAAGCCAUUCGAGUUCUGUCCGUGGAAAAUCGUUUUGUCCCCCUUCAGUCCACAUGCAGGACUCUAACAAAAGACAACAAAGAYGGCAGGGACAGCAGUUCAAAGCUUCUCCUGGAAACACUGCUGCUUUAAUGUGGAGCGAGGAUUUCAAACUGUCCCUCCUGAGCUGUCAGCUUUCCUUCAGGAGUUCAGCUGUUCCCUGAGAGGAACCAGCAGCUGGAGAACAAACCGCUUCCACUGAAGCACAUCUAGUUUCAAAUCUGAUGUAAAGAAAAUGAGCCAUGAAGGUCUGGUGAGGACCAGCCUGGAGGACCAGCCUGGAGGACCAGCCUGGAGGA